AGUGGCUGCUCCACUGGAUGUCAUAAGGUGAAUGCACCAAUUUGUAAGUCGCUCUGGAUAAGAGCGUCUGCUAAAUGACUUAAAUGUAAAUGUAAAUGUACUUGCUUAGAAUAUGCUUCUUGCUAGUCAGGGGGGAGUCUGCAAGAUGUUCGGUGAACAAUGUUGUACGUAUAUCCCUAAUAACACCAGUCCAGAUGGUAGUAUAUCUAAGGGCCUUAAAUGGGCUUGAUGCACUAUCUGCUGAGAUGAGGACCAUGGCGGGGGUAGAGGAGUCUGACUGUCCACCUGGUUGGGAGACUGGUUUGGUAAGUAUACUGGUAUGGUGGUUACUGGAUUUCUGACCCUAAUUCUUGUAUUAUUUGUUAUUGAUGUGAUGUGCUGCUUGCAUCAUACCGUGUUUUAAGAAGUCUGUUACAGAUGUGGUGAAGGCUUCAGGCAUGAUGCCUUUGCUUGAUGCUCCAGUUGGAGAGGCUGAGGUGAAGCAUGCUUUGAGGGGAGGAUAAGACUGACUGAGGAUGACCCAUGUAUGUUUGUUCUCCCUGUCGUGAAGGGUGGCAUGGUGCCCACCUGGUGCUGGAUAAGAAUAGCUGAGACGACCAGAUGGGUUAUAAGAAUGCUUUGUUCUGCUUUACUCUGUUUUACAGGACCAAAGUUUUAUUCCACACUUUGCAACACAUUAAAUCCAUGUUAUUGUCAGAUAGAAUACUGAGGGUCCCCAAGGAGAGGGCUUGUUAGUGUAGGAAGGAUUUUUAAUAUGGUUAGCAUUUAUUAGAUUAUAAGUUUUUAAAUAGUAUUAUAUUUAACAGGAAUAUAGGACAUCUAUGAGGAGUUAGGAUUAUUGUUAGGAUUAAGAUAGAUUGAUUAAGGAAUUUGGAGAAAAGCCGCUCAUAGACAUGUUAUUUUUUUCUAAAAGAGGGUCCAUGGGUUUGGAUGGAGCCAAACAGUGAGACAUGUAGUUCAAAUUUGGAAAACAUGAGAAACAUACAGAGGAGCCCUCCCCCGCACUGCAGAGACCUUGAAGGUUGGAGAACAGAGAAGCUUUAGAAGGGGGGCCAGGACGAGCAAAGAUAACAUAGUGGGUAGAUAAGUUACUGAGUGGAGACAAAAGUGAGAAUUGGACAUGUGGAAAAUGAAAGGGACACUCCUAAAUGGAAUUUCAGACAUAAGGAUAAUUCACUAAAUCUUAUCUAAGUCAUUGUAUAAGAAUAAGGCAAGGUUGUUACCUGGGCAGAGCCAGGUAACAAAAGGGGGAUGGGUAAAUAGUGUUCUAGAAUAGGAUGUGACCUACGGGAUAAUUAACUAAUAAAAAAAAUAAUUGUUAAUUGGUUUGACGAAUAAGAAACUGUUUUAUUAACCAAACCUGUAUGUCCAAGAGUUUAUGCACUACAGGUGAACUACAGGUGAAGACACUCAAUCCAGUCCCGUGGGCCACCCGGAUUCAUAUCGCACUGCGGGGGGGACUCUGGAGAGAUCAAUGACACUACAGAUGGUGCGUUAUGGGCCGAUUCCAGGUUCAGACCCAUGGAGGACUGAAGGCAUGUCUACAGAGGAAGUGGACGAAUCUGGAUCUGUCAUUUGUGGGAAAUUUAUGUUUGAUGAGAAUAGUGUUGAAAUGAAGGGGAAUUAGAUUGUAAUUUGUUUCAAUGAUUAAACUGUUUUUUUUAAUAAAGAUUGUAAAAAGAAAAGAAAAAAUCCUGAAAGAGGAGUUAUGAUUCUGAUGUAGGUUUAAAAACAGUUGGAGUUAAGGUUAGAAUUGAUUUAUGAAAUGUGAAGAGUUGGAUAAACAUUUAUAAUUGAUUUGUUGAUUAUUUGUCUAUUCAUAUGAUAAUCUGAUAAACCUCUAUAAAAAGGUUAGUUAAGUUUGUUUAUACUUUCAUUUUUUAUGAUUAAAUAAAACUAGAUGUAGAAUUGAAUGUAUAAUAUUUGAUCACAGGGAGGAUUGUUAGAGGAAAUUAUAGUUUAGAUGAUCAAUUAUGUAUACAUUAAUGAUUAGAACCAUUUAUGCUAAUACUAUUAUGUUAUGAUUUGAAAAGUAUGGGUUUUUAGUUGAACUGUUACUGAAAAUGUAAGCAGAAAUUAAUUGUGUCUGUGUCUCCUGGGAAAGUUUAAGAAGGAGGGAUAAGAUAGUUUUUCAAACAGAUAAGAAUGUUUUGGUUGGAUUCCAUUAGUGGAGAGAAGUAUUAACCUUUAGACAGGUUGGAAUGUAGUUUAUGAGGGGAGUGAAACUAUCUCCAGGACCAAAUACUACGCCAUUGUAAGGCUGGGAGAGGGUGUGAAACUGAUGACGUCAUUUUAUGUCUUCUUUCUUUAAAAUGUAAUGUUCUUUGUAUUUUGGGUCAGUACUCUCUGGAAUUAAACGCUCUUUACCUGGCUUUUAA